rnacentral:rRNA from 1 species
CAGUCGCCGCGGGAACACGUAGGUGGCAAGCGUUGUCCGGAAUUAUUGGGCGUAAAGCGCGCGCAGGCGGAUCAGUUAGUCUGUCUUAAAAGUUCGGGGCUUAACCCCGUGAGGGGAUGGAAACUGCUGAUCUAGAGUAUCGGAGAGGAAAGUGGAAUUCCUAGUGUAGCGGUGAAAUGCGUAGAUAUUAGGAAGAACACCAGUGGCGAAGGCGACUUUCUGGACGAAAACUGACGCUGAGGCGCAAAAGCCAGGGGAGCGAACGGGAUUAGAUACCCCGGUAGUCCCUGUCUCUUAUACA